rnacentral:tRNA from 1 species
CAGGGGAUAGUUUAUAUAAAAUAUUAAUUUUGGAGAUUAAUGUAAAGAUGUUAAUCUUUCCCUUGA